UCACUACUCCAACCGGAAAAU
rnacentral:piRNA from 1 species